rnacentral:rRNA from 1 species
GAUCAUGGCUCAGGAUGAACGCUAGCGGCAGGCUUAACACAUGCAAGUCGAGGGGCAGCAUAAUGGAUAGCAAUAUCUAUGGUGGCGACCGGCGCACGGGUGCGUAACGCGUAUGCAACCUACCUUUAACAGGGGGAUAACACUGAGAAAUUGGUACUAAUACCUUAUAAUAUCAUAGAAGGCAUCUUUUACGGUUGAAAAUUCCGAUGGUUAGAGAUGGGCAUGCGUUGUA